CUACUAAUAAGUUCCAACUUUAGUAAGUUCAUGUUCUAACCAGCAGGAAUGUCACUAUUGCAACUCCAGAUUCCUUCACCAAAAACCUGAAACAAUACUUUAAUACCAUUACAGUGAGGUUAAUCAAUUCUUAGCACUAGAUGCUGAUGGGCAUUGCACUUCUUUUGCGUCAACGCCUUCUGCAGGAACUGGUUGAUCGUUCACCUUUAAACUCAACGACCGUGGCUUCAUCUUCUGGACCUCCUCUCUAGUGUAGAUACCAAUCUUGCGAACCAUGGCACAAAACUCCCUAAUGAACAAGCAAUAAUCAGAUGAUGUAUAUACCACAAAACUGAAACAUGU